CAACGUGUGCAAAAAUGGUAUAAAUACUACCUUGUCUACCGUAGAGAAGCAACCUCAGUUUCUAUCUAACUCUGUAGGAGAAACAGCUAACCUAAACAUGAAUGCUAAGGUUGUUCUAGCACUGGUGCUUUUGGGUCUCAUGACAUUUGCAGUCGUCCAUGCGAUACCCGGUACUUGUAAUUGUGUGAGAAAACUCAGUCCCGUGUGUGGAACGGACGGAGUAACGUAUGAUAAUGCUUGUCUCGCUGAAUGUGCUGGCUAUCAAGUAGCAAGUAACGGCACCUGUCCCGGUGACCCUAUUCCAGUAACGUUUUCAUAAGGCAGCUGGAAAUGAGUGUCAAAAUAUAUAUCUUGAUUUGUUUGACAACCUCUGGACAUUUGCAUCUUCUAAUUAAUAUUGUUUCAAAACAAUCCUUUUUGAUAAUAAAUAAAUAAAAACUUUCGUCGCCAUAGCAUGAGGCAUCGAUGGUGUUGCAAUGGCGAACCUGUUAUUGUUAAAAAAUUAUUACAUUGAAAAAGUGGUAACAGAUCUUCCGUUUUUCUGUAAAUGUGUAGAAUUUUCUUUUCUUAGGAAAUUAAAUUCUUGAUAAUUCUGCGCCUGUAUUUACUAUUUCUGCUUUCCUUAAUCUGAAUAAACUUUUCAAGCUUU
rnacentral:lncRNA from 1 species